rnacentral:tRNA from 1 species
GCGCCCGUAGCUCAGGGAUAGAGUAUCGGCCUCCGAAGCCGAGGGUCACUGGUUCGAUUCCAGUCGGGCGCGCCA